rnacentral:tRNA from 1 species
UGGGAGUGUAGCUCAAUGGAUAUAGCGCCGCGCUUCGGACGCGGAUGUUGUGGGUUCAAGUCCUACCACUCUCGU